rnacentral:misc_RNA from 1 species
AAGUCGUAACAAGGUUGCCGUAGGUGAACCUGCGGAAGGAUCAUUAACACAUAUCCAAACGCAAAAAACCCCCCGUGAACAUUCAAUCCCACAGUUUAAUGUGAAGCUCAAUGUAAUACAUUGGGUAAAAAAACCGAACAACUGUUAACAAUGGAUAUCUUGGUUCUCGCAUCGAUGAAAUCAUGAAGAACGCAGC